rnacentral:misc_RNA from 1 species
AUAUGAAUGAUCAGUUGUUUGAUUGUGGACAAGAUGAUGUUGACCGAAUUUCGAAUUGAUAUAUGUCUAAGUAGAUAUCAUGGGAUCUUCCUGAUUGCAUAGGUGAGAAUCUAUGACUUCUAUGAGAUUUGUAAAAUUAAGUUGGAAAUCAUCUUUAAUGGUGAUUAAUGAAUUAAGAAUUUUGAAGACAGCCACUGCAACCAGUUACUUGUUCUAUCAUGUGCAUACGUAUUCGCAUGACACAUUCAUUGAAACUUUUAAUAUUAUUUAUUUUGUAUGUUAAUUUACCGCCAGCUGUUAGUAUAUUGCGCAUUUUGGAUUACAUUUCCUUUGUUAAUCAUUAUUGCACUGUAGAACAAAGUGCAAUCUUGCAUUUUAGAUGUUGUGCUAUACUUUUAAAUUUGUCAUUUAGCAAAUGAUUUUCAUAUACACCAUAUGUACUUCUAUUUAUAUGUGUUAUUAUAACUUUGGAAUGUGAUUUAUAUUACCAGGCUGUCGUUUUCACUGACUUGAGCUUAGAGAAAGCAAUUGAAUUUGAUGA